rfam:Phaeocystis globosa virus strain 16T, complete genome.
AUCACGGUGUCCGAGUCUGGUUUAAGGAGCAAGAUUUAAGACCUUGUGCGUUCGCGCUCGCGGGUUCGAAUCCCGCCCGUGAUA